AUGGAGGGUGUCGAAGCGAAGAAAAAGAAGGUUCCUGCUGUGCCAGAAACCCUUAAGAAAAAGUGAAGGAAUUUCGCAGAGCUGAAGAUAAAGCGCCUGAGAAAGAAGUUUGCCCAAAAAAUGCUUCAAAAGGCAAGGAGGAAGCUUAUCUACGAAAAAGCUAAGCACUAUCACAAAGAAUAUAGGCAGAUGCACAGCACUGAGAUUCGAAUGGCUAGGAUGGCAAGAAAAGCUGGCAACUUCUAUGUACCUGCAGAACCCAAAUUGGCGUUUGUCAUCAGGAUCAGAGGUAUCAAUGGUGUGAGCCCAAAGGUCCGGAAGGCGUUGCAGCAUCUUCGCCUUCGUCAGCUCUUCAACGGAACCUUUGUUAAGCUCAACAAGGCUUCAAUGAACAUGCUGAGGAUUGUAGAACCGAACAUUGCAUGGGGGUACCCAAACCUGAACUCAGCAAAUGAACUAAUCUACAAGCGUGGUUAUGGCAAAAUUAAUAAGAAGAGAAUUGCCUUGACAGAUAAUGGUUUGAUUGCUUGAUCUCUUGGUAAAAUAUGGCAUCAUCUGCAUGGAGGAUCUGAUUCAUGAGAUCUAUACUGUUGGAAAACGUUUCAAAGAAGCAAAUAACUUCCUCUGGCCUUUUAAAUUAACCUCUCCACGAGGUGGAAUGAAGAAAAAGACCACCCAUUUUGUAGAAGGUGCGGAUGCUGGCAACAGGGAAGACCAGAUCAACAGGCUUAUUAGAAGGAUGAACUAAGGUGUCUGCCAUGAUUAUUUUUGUUAACCAGUGAGUUAACAAUAAACAAUACCUGCUUUCAAGUG